AUGCUCGUCGGUGCGAACGGCUAACCCCACCGGGCCCUGUCCUGUUAAAAAAAGAAAAAGCAUCCUCUGCCCCGCGGCGCAAAGAUCCCGCUCCUCUUGGGCGAAAGAUGCCUCGUUGCCCAACAAACAGCCUUAUCUCCCUUCUCCUGGCCGCGGGGAGCGGCAGGAAAUCGGGGCAGCUGCCGGCAGCUGCUGGCGAUGUCUCGAAAGCCGCAGGCAGGGUCACGGCCGCUGCCGCGCUCCCACCGCCGUGUCCCGAGGUGGCGUAACCCGGGGAGGGGGGUUCACGGGCUUAUCCACAGCCUCUCCCUUUGCUCCCACCUGUCAUCUCUAGUUUUUGUUCAUUUCUUUGCUGUCCGCCCACCCCAUCCCCUACAGCUGGAGCGACCCAGUCCCUAAGGACAAGGCAGGUUGCCCACGCGAAAGCACGGAGAGUUUGAGCCCCGGGAGGACAUCUUCUGCCCUCUGCCCCUGCCCCGGGCCGUCCCAGCGCCGCGCUUCGCGCGGGGCAUUCGACGAGCCCUGGGCACCGGACCGGGCUCCGCCGGGGGCGCAGAGGCGCCGCGCUACCCCCGAGGAGCCGCGCUGGGAGAAAUACAGAUGCAAAAGCAGGACGUGGGUAAAUGAGAGAAGAUAAGGUAUUGCUCCUGCAAGCAGAACAUCCUGUCUUCAAAGUGGGCAACAAGCCAUUCCUGUGGUGCUGGAUGGGGAUGGGGAAAGUUGCCAGAAAAAUUUUUGGUGCACGUGCAGUAAAAAUCCUCUCCCCACAAAUUCAGGUUUGUAAAAGAUUUCUAACAGAAGUGAGCACACUGCCCUUAUUGGACUCUCUCUUGUGCAAAUCAGCUAGCAGCAGGAAUUUCAAAGGAGCAGAUAAAAUGAACCAUGUUAUAGGUCAACAGAGGAGGAUACUAUCCAGGGAGCUUUCACUAUUCUUCCUGUGUUGGCUGCCCUGCUGAUCCAUUUCUGCAGAGCUAGCAGUCAAGCUCCACUUGCAAACAGGACAUUGGGAAAUUGGAUUAAUGCACCUUGGGGUGAGUGUGCUACCUGGGAAUCUCUUGAAAGGACACAGCCUUGGUGCAGGGGUCUGACAUAAAGCAGCAGAUGGCCACUGAACAGCUCAAGUGACUGGUAAUGGGAUACUCAGCUUUUCAUCUCCAAGUAUCUGCGUCAGGUCUGUCUCGAGUGGGUUGUAGCUGAAAGGUACAAUUUGACAGGCAUUCAACAGCAAAAAUGUGAUAGCCAGGCUCAGUCUAGAGACUCUGCUUUUCCUGUGCAAUCUGGUUAACAAAGCUGCCAUGUCCUUUUCAAACUCAGGGUUGAGUAGGCCAGGAGACUUGAUUAUCCUUUUACAUCUAAAGGGUCAGCCCAGCAAAACAGUUUUGAAACCCAGGUGCAAGUGGGACAAUGGACUCAGUGGUCAGUUUCCUUUAGUGUCCAUCAGGUGUUUUUUUCAAUUGCUAGAUUAACUUUUAAACACACAAACAAACAAAUAAAAAGACAACAAGAACAAAAAAAAAAAACUGAGAUGAAGGGGGAAAAAAAGUAGUGUAAUGAGACAAACUACUGUUUUCACAAAGUUUUGCAUGAAGGAUGUGACGUGUUCUUCUGCACACUCAAGGCACAACAUUUUUCAUAUGGAUACAGUAUGGAUGCAAAACAUCUGUACUGUCAAAAAAAGAAUUAGUAAAUUGAUAAAAUCAAGGGACUGUAACUCCCUUCUGCAGGAUACCUGGCAUCUGCUGUUCUCAACUAAACUCAUUAUGUUCAGCAAUUUCCAUGAGCUUUGAAUUUAUUAGAGGUUUUUUAUAACCACACUUAGGUUUUCAGGGAAUCCAACUGAAAUUCAAGGGAUUUCAAUACAGACUCAAAGGCUGCCUUCAUUACCUUGAAUCUGAUAGAAAAAUUAGUCAUAAUGUAGAAGCCUUCUUCUUGUGAAAAGAAAAUGACCAUCCAGGUAUACUUGGAGUAAGCCUAGAAACAGACAUCUUAAACAUAAUUAAUCAGUCAAUUUCAAGCAUAAGGUCAGUAUCAUGAAAUGUUUUUUUAUGAUAAUAUUUUUGAAAAUGCAUCAGGAAUGAAAGGGAAUUCUACAUGUAAAAGUGCUGCAGACACCUAGGAGUCGGUGAUAAGAGUUGUUGAGUCAAAAUUCUUAAAAAUACAACUUUGUUACCUCCUUGACAUCCUCAGAAAUUAUGGUUUCUUUCAUGUCAGUACAGAACAUGAAGACAGGUGCUAAAGACUGCUGUCUGACAGGAUUGAAUCCCUUAGGUUAAAGGUGGCUAAACACAUAAUUUAAAUUAUGUGUAUAAUUUCUUAUUCAUUAACUCUGUAUACCUACAAAAACUGAUUACAAUCAUACCUCAACAUAACAAUUGAAAUUCAGUUUGUACUUAAAGCUACUGGUCAUCACUGUUGUUAGAAACACAGUCCAGAUUGCCUUCUUCCUUAUUCUAGGCACUGUAAAGACAAAUUGCCAUAAAGAUAGACAAGAGAGAUAAAAGAUGUGAAAAAGAAAAAGAAACACAGAGAUUAACUUGCCAAAAUCACACUGCAAAUUAAUGGUCAAAUUAAGAAUAGAAUUCAGAUCAUUCAAACUCCAGUCUGUUGCUGAGCUCACAGAGUAUUCCCUCAGGCUUUUUCUAAGACAUUUUUAUUAGCCAUCAGUGUUUACCGACACUAAUUAAUGUUAGACCAUAAAAAGACCUUUUAAACAUGAAGCAUCUGAGUUUACUAUCUAUCAAAAUACCACUUCCUCUGUAACAUUUACAAAAUAAUCAAGUUGACUAGGAGGCUCCUGAACGUUCUUACUGCACAAAUGUAUUUAAGGUUUUCAGUCAAGCCUAUGAGAGCCUUUUGGGCCAGCUGAUGCCUCACCCUCUUCUGCAGCCAAGAGCACGCACAGGAGUGCAAGGGGCAGCACCAGGUGAUGGAAUUUAUCCUUCAGGCCAAGCAGCACUGGUCUAGACACAGCUGAGAAGCCUGGAAAGGCACCAUCAAAGCUUGAACACUCAUGGCAGUGACUAGCGAGCCUUUGCAUCCCUCAUCUUAUGCAUACUUAAUAAAUUUUACUAUUUACUUGCUCAGCUUUUGGUCACUUCCCCCUCGUUCUGGUUUCUAAGCUACAACUUAUGCAUAUAGGUAAUUUAGCAUUUAAUUCAACAAUACCAUAUAUGGAGCAUACUGCAUGGGAAAGACAUAGCUAAACCAGAUAUUUCUGUGAAAAUUACAUUUCCUUACUGGUAUUUCAGUUACAGUUCUACAAUGCUUCAGCCUGGAAUUAAAACCCCUGGUUGGGUUCAUAAUACAACUAAAUAAAUAAAGAAAUCUUUAAAGAUUUGACAUUAAUUCAUCUAGUUUCUGGCAUUCUAGAUAAAUAUUAAAACACCAUGACAUAUUUAGCAGAAUGAAAAUUCAAAUGCAUGUUGGUGCUGUCAGAAAACUUGAGGUGAUGAGUUGGAUUUUUAUAUAAAUGUGUGUAAAGAAACCUUUAUUUAUAUAUCUUAUGUACCUUAUCUCGUUUCUGUACACAUUUUAUUUACCUUAUUACCAUUAUCCUCUUUACAUAUAUGAAAGAAGCUUUAAAUGUAAAGUGCCUUGGGAAUUAUGAACAGCCACUUACCAAUAUGUUUCUUUUCUCUGCUAACAACAGGGAUUUUUCAUUUCAAUUUAUAUUAAAAGGCAGAUAACUUUAGUUCAAAUGCCUUUUAACUC